rnacentral:tRNA from 1 species
UCCUAAGUAGCUCAGUGGUAGAGAGGUCAAUUGUUACCUGAUUGGUUGUAGGUUCAAAUCUUACUUGGGGAG